rnacentral:rRNA from 1 species
UACGUAGGCAGCGAGCGUUGUUCGGAGUUACUGGGCGUAAAGGGUGUGUAGGCGGUUGUUUAAGUUUGGUGUGAAAUCUCCCGGCUCAACUGGGAGGGUGCGCCGAAUACUGAAUGACUUGGAGUGCGGGAGAGGUGAGUGGAAUUCCUGGUGUAGCGGUGAAAUGCGUAGAUAUCAGGAGGAACACCGGUGGUGUAGGCGGCUCACUGGACCGUAACUGACGCUGAGACACGAAAGCGUGGGUAGCAAACAGG